rnacentral:rRNA from 1 species
GACGUAGGGCGCGAGCGUUGUCCGGAUUUAUUGGGCGUAAAGAGCGUGUAGGCGGCCUGACAGGUCUGCUGUGAAAACUCGAGGCUCAACCUCGAGAUGUCGGCGGAAACCGUCUGGCUAGAGUCCGGAAGAGGAGAGUGGAAUUCCUGGUGUAGCGGUGAAAUGCGCAGAUAUCAGGAAGAACACCUAUGGCGAAGGCAGCUCUCUGGGACGGUACUGACGCUGAGACGCGAAAGCGUGGGGAGCAAACAGG